AGAGUUUGAUCCUGGCUCAGGACGAACGCUGGCGGCGCGCCUAACACAUGCAAGUCGAACGAGCGAGAGAGAGCUUGCUUUCUCGAGCGAGUGGCGAACGGGUGAGUAACGCGUGAGGAACCUGCCUCAAAGAGGGGGACAACAGUUGGAAACGACUGCUAAUACCGCAUAAGCCCACGGGUCGGCAUCGACCAGAGGGAAAAGGAGCAAUCCGCUUUGAGAUGGCCUCGCGUCCGAUUAGCUAGUUGGUGAGGUAACGGCCCACCAAGGCAACGAUCGGUAGCCGGACUGAGAGGUUGAACGGCCACAUUGGGACUGAGACACGGCCCAGACUCCUACGGGAGGCAGCAGUGGGGAAUAUUGCACAAUGGGGGAAACCCUGAUGCAGCGACGCCGCGUGGAGGAAGAAGGUCUUCGGAUUGUAAACUCCUGUUGUUGAGGAAGAUAAUGACGGUACUCAACAAGGAAGUGACGGCUAACUACGUGCCAGCAGCCGCGGUAAAACGUAGGUCACAAGCGUUGUCCGGAAUUACUGGGUGUAAAGGGAGCGCAGGCGGGAAGACAAGUUGGAAGUGAAAUUCAUGGGCUCAACCCAUGAACUGCUUUCAAAACUGUUUUUCUUGAGUAGUGCAGAGGUAGGCGGAAUUCCCGGUGUAGCGGUGGAAUGCGUAGAUAUCGGGAGGAACACCAGUGGCGAAGGCGGCCUACUGGGCACCAACUGACGCUGAGGCUCGAAAGUGUGGGUAGCAAACAGGAUUAGAUACCCUGGUAGUCCACACCGUAAACGAUGAUUACUAGGUGUUGGAGGAUUGACCCCUUCAGUGCCGCAGUUAACACAAUAAGUAAUCCACCUGGGGAGUACGACCGCAAGGUUGAAACUCAAAGGAAUUGACGGGGGCCCGCACAAGCAGUGGAAGUAUGUGGGUUUAAUUCGACGCAACGCGAAGAACCUUACCAAGUCUUGACAUCCUGCGACGGUGCUGGAAACAGUACUUUCCUUCGGGACGCAGAGACAGGUGGUGCAUGGUUGUCGUCAGCUCGUGUCGUGAGAUGUUGGGUUAAGUCCCGCAACGAGCGCAACCCUUAUGGUCAGUUACUACGCAAGAGGACUCUGGCCAGACUGCCGUUGACAAAACGGAGGAAGGUGGGGAUGACGUCAAAUCAUCAUGCCCUUUAUGACUUGGGCUACACACGUACUACAAUGGCGUUAAACAAAGAGAAGCAAGACCGCGAGGUGGAGCAAAACUCAGAAACAACGUCCCAGUUCGGACUGCAGGCUGCAACUCGCCUGCACGAAGUCGGAAUUGCUAGUAAUCGUGGAUCAGCAUGCCACGGUGAAUACGUUCCCGGGCCUUGCACACACCGCCCGUC
rnacentral:rRNA from 1 species